AUUUUUUUUUCUUUCAUGUUUUAUUUAUAUCUCUUCUGAAAAAUAACCUUCUGAUAUAAUUUCUCUAGAUUUUUUCAACCUUUUAUUUUAUUUUUGAAUUAUUAAUAUUAUUAGUUAUUUCUGCAAUAAUAUAAAAUUUCUCAAACGCUGACACCACACUCCCUCUCACUUAGAAGGGCAGAAAAAUAAGUUGACUGAACUUUAUUAAUUACAUAGAUCUUGACUGUUCGUUCCAUCGUUUUUCAAGGGAGGCCAAAUAUAAAGGAUUUUACAGGACAUUAGGUCACUGAAUUGAAGACUUCUUUACACCGGAACCAACCAACCGCAUUUCUCAUCAUGAUUUAUUAAUUAUGGCCGGCACACCGUGAAGAGUUUUCAGGUGGUUAAUUUUUAGUCGGCGCCUCCUCUUUAAUUCCAUGUUUUGUGGUGUUCUUUAGUGUAUAUCACAUACGAUCGAAUGUGAUAUACACCCAUAAGAUAUUCAUACAUAAUUAUGUUUAUAGUAAGAGUGUAAUCUUUAGUUUAUGUUUUAAUUUAAAAAUAUAUAACGAUAAUUAUACUUAUUUUAAAAAUAAAUGUUGUGAUUAAAUACGAAAAUAUUUUGAAAAAGAUAUUAAUUAAUAAUGAAAGUUAAAUCAAAAUACAUAGCUUUCUUCUUUUUUGGGAUAAUUAAACAGAAAAUUCUCCAGCUUAAUCAUCUAUAAUCGGCACUGCUGAUUUCUCGAUCGUAUCCUUUUAAUUUAACAGAUAUCUCUAUAUACUCUUUUAAAAUUGCUACAGAAGCAAUAUAUAUGAUCUCUUCUUAAUUAGGAGUAAUCUCUAAUUACUUUACCGAGUUGCGCUGAGCCCUUGCAGAUAUGUUGACCGGUUAUCGAGAUGUCUGUACGUGGAGUACAAACGUUAUGGAAUCCAUGUGCAGUGUCAGGUGCCGCUAUAUGUAGCAACAAAAAUGACCUCAAAAGUAGCUUCGAUUGGGAGAUCGUCCUUGUUCAUACCAGCACCAGAAGAUUAUGCAAAGUCUGCGAUUGGUCGAAUAGGCUAUGAAGCUCGGUGCGCUCCCUACUGGGCUCACUCGUUUCAAUGGUGCUUUGCUUGGUUGCUUCCAGAGUGUGUUCUUGAUGCUUGGCGUCUCUCUGUUGGUAUCCACCGAAGAGAAAAGCUCAUUGCCUGAAUUCUUUUUGUUUUUCUCCGUAUCAGUCAGUGAAACAGCUACUGGGCGAGGGGUUUUGGAGGUUUUUAUUUCUAUUUAAGAUUAUGCAUCAAGAUUGUCAAAAAUAUGUUUUUAACACGACACGAAAUAUAUAAUAUAAACUCGGAUCAUAAACUCGAAUAAUAAAAUCGCAAGAACAAUAUUUUAACUAA